rnacentral:lncRNA from 1 species
AACGCCGCGUAGAAAACGUCUAAAUAGUGGCUCCUCGGGCACUGCUGCCAGAAGCACGACCACUCCCCUGCGAUGUUCGGAAGAUCGGAAAAAAGAAACAAAAGAAUGCAGCGCGCGACCGUGGCCGUGACCGCGUCUACUGCAAACACAGUCGGCCCCGAAAGCCGCGGGAGCCGAUUUUUAGAGCUUUCCACACCUCACGCUGGCCGAGGCGGCGCGGAACCAGUACUCGGAACCAGCACCUUCCAGCUUCUGCUCUUUGGUCAACACUGACUACUCCUCGAGAUCCCGCGCCGACUCUUCAGUCACCUCCCGAGGCGUUCGGCGGCACCCCAUAGAGCACGGGCAAGUUCACCGCUGGGCCUUCCGCGGGAAACAAUCAGGCCUCCUUGACUCGCUUCUUCUCUCUGGCUUUUCUUCAUAGCUUUCUCUCUUUCCUUCUCUCUUUCUUUCUUUCUUUUCUUUUUCCGACUGAGUCUAGUAAAAAGAAUUGACGGCGGCGUUCCUACGUGUCUGGACAAACAGAAAGAAGUGCUGCAGUUACUUUUCCGGCCCUAUCGUGCGCGUCAUUGCGUUCCUGAGCUGCUCGUUUCACUCCCUUGCAGAACCGAAACAAAAUGUUUGAAGUCCGA